rnacentral:lncRNA from 1 species
CUGAGAACACGGCAGGAAGGGGGGAGCGAGGGGAGCCAGAGGCGGGGACCCUACAAUCCACUGUGGCUCCCAAGGCCCCUUCCCUUCCCAGCCUUCCCACCACAGCGCACCCCACGGGCUCCUGCUAAGGCCUGUGCACUCCUGCUGAUGGGCCCCCAUGGGAACGAGAGCACCCCCAGAACCUUAGUUCCAGAGUGUGACCCCCCCAAGGUCCCCCUGUCCGUGUGGGUCCCCAGCCAGGAUCAUGACUGUGUGUGAUGGGCUGGGGCUGGGAUAGAGCUCCUCAAAUAUUUGCUGGGCAUUGGCGAGGGAGUGGACAGCGCCCAGCAGGGUGCACAGUGUGGGGUGGAAGAUGACUGCUAAAGGCGGGACACAGCAGUGCUGGAGGGACAGCUGCUCCCUCCCCACGAGAACAGAAGGUGAGCAUUUUGGAGGGUCCCUGUGUCGAGACACAGAUAUGCACAAAACGUGCCAUGCAGACACAUGGCAGGUGCACACACCGACACAUGCCACACGAACACACACCAGGCAUGCACGCACAUGGGUAUAUCUGCCUGACACACUGAUAUGGUUUGGCUCCGUGUCCCCACCCAAACCUCACCGUGAAUUGUGAUAAUCCCCCGGUAUCAAGGGUGGGACCAGGUAGAGGUGACUGGAUCAUGGGGGCAGGUCCCCCCAUGCUGUUCUCAUGAUAGUGAGUCUCAGGAGAGCUGAUGGUUUUAUAAGCGUCUGGCAUUUCCUCUGCCGGUUCUCGUAC